rnacentral:rRNA from 1 species
GACGAACGCUGGCGGCGUGCCUAAUACAUGCAAGUUGAGCGCUGAAGGUUGGUUCUUGUACCCACUGGAUGAGCAGCGAACGGGUGAGUAACGCGUGGGUAAUCUGCCUUUGAGCGGGGGACAACAUCUGGAAACGAAUGCUAAUACCGCAUAAAAACUUUAAACACAAGUUUUAAGUUUGAAAGGUGCAAUUGCAUCACUCAAAGAUGAUCCCGCGUUGUAUUAGGUAGUUGGUGAGGUAAAGGCUCACCAAGGCGACGAUACAUAGCCGACCUGAGAGGGUGGUCGGCCACAAUGGGAAUGAGACCCGGCCCAAACUCCUACGGGAGGCAGCAGUAGGGGAUCUUCGGCAAUAGACGGAAGUCUGACCGAGCAACGCCGCGGGCGUGAAGAAGGUUUUCGGCACGUGAAACUCUGUUUGUGGAGAAGAACGUUGGUGAGAGUGGAAAGCUCAUCAAGUGACGGUAACUACCCAGAAAGGGACGGCUAACUACGUG